CACACUUGGCCAAAAACUCCAAAGCCAAUGCUACGCCCUGCACUCAGAUACCGUUAAACCACUGUGGACAAUAAGGGCUCUGUCAUAUCCAACCGAGUGCAGAGUUGUGAUGCAUGUCCAGGAUACCUGACACCUCACAGCUGCCAGCCAACCAGCCAAUCACAGAUGUCCUGCCUAUCCAGCUCAUGUUAUGUUUUUGAAAGUGCAGACUUCUGUGACAGAAGAUAACAGGGCACCUGUAUCACCCCUAGAGUUAUUAUGGGUUACUGGAAUCACUCUUCUGAUUUAAUUAAUAAAUUUAACACUAAAAUUCUAAUACUAUUAAAUUUAAAAACAUUAAUAAAAUAAAAAAAUAAAUAAAUACAGCAAACGAAUAGCAGUCCACGAUUUCCUUGUAACUUCAUGUCAUUAAAUUUACCGCCUCUUCACAUUUCAAAUUGCAACGGCUUUUCUAACUGACCUGUGAGAAGUGAGAAGAGCUGCGAGGGAUGAGAAGAUCUUACUCGGGGUGAACGCGGCUCUUUCCAAACCAAAACGCUCCAGACACACUGUCAAAAAGUAAUUCUGUGACACCCCUCUAACAGGACUUGGUCCUCACAUCACAUGCACAGGAUGUUGGAAGCAGGGUGGAGGCCCCAUACUGGCAAACUGGUAACUGUGAGGAGGGGCAUUCAUUACAGCAAAGGCUGUUUUUUCAGGGGCAACACGUGAGCUGAAUUCAAGGUCUUUUGAAGUAAAUCUCAUAGAAUGUGUCUAUGUGUCACUCAUCGAUGCUUAUAUCUCCAAGGAAUGCAGCAACAAUCUGUGCCCUGGUGAAACACCUCAUUACUAAAGUGGCCAAAAUCAUAUGCACACCACCUGCAAGACAAUAGAAUAUUUGAUUCCACAGACAAAUUAAUUUAAAUGCUCUAGAGGUUGUUUCUGUACUCUAUUAAAAACUAGCAUUUCCAAUCAGAGUCCUGAAUGAACCCUUUGACAUUUAUUUUUCAGCCCUGAAAUGCUUGCAGGACUUGCUGAACCUUUAUAAUUACUGGAAAAUGUUUUCAGAGUUAUCUGGAGUGUUGUAGAGUGCUUUUGAUUCAUUCGAAACAACUGAAUAUCAUCUCUGCGAUCUG